rnacentral:rRNA from 1 species
GACGAACGCUGGCGGCGUGCUUAACACAUGCAAGUCGAACGGAAAGGCCCUGCUUUUGUUGGGUGCUCGAGUGGCGAACGGGUGAGUAACACGUGAGUAACCUGCCCUUGACUUUGGGAUAACUUCAGGAAACUGGGGCUAAUACCGGAUAGAAGCUCCUGCUGCAUGGUGGGCGUUGGAAAGUUUCGGCGGUUGGGUAUGGACUCGCGGCUUAUCAGCUUGUUGGUGGGGUAGUGGCUUACCAAGGCUUUGACGGGUAGCCGGCCUGAGAGGGUGACCGGCCACAAUGGGACUGAGAGAGGGAGCAGACUCGUACGGGAGGCAGCAGGGGGGAAUAUUGCACAAUGGGGGGAAGUCUGAUGCAGAAACGCCGCGUGCGGGAUGACGGCCUUCGGGUUGUAAACCGCUUUCGCCUGUGACGAAGCGUGAGUGACGGUAAUGGGUAAAGAAGCACCGGCUAACUACGUG